GAUGAACGCUGGCGGCGUGCUUAACACAUGCAAGUCGAACGGAAAGGCCCAAGCUUGCUUGGGUACUCGAGUGGCGAACGGGUGAGUAACACGUGGGCGAUCUGCCCUGCACUUCGGGAUAAGCCUGGGAAACUGGGUCUAAUACCGGAUAGGACCACAUUUUGGAUGGUGUGGUGGAAAGUUUUUCGGUGUGGGAUGAGCUCGCGGCCUAUCAGCUUGUUGGUGGGGUAAUGGCCUACCAAGGCGUCGACGGGUAGCCGGCCUGAGAGGGUGUACGGCCACAUUGGGACUGAGAUACGGCCCAGACUCCUACGGGAGGCAGCAGUGGGGAAUAUUGCACAAUGGGCGCAAGCCUGAUGCAGCGACGCCGCGUGGGGGAUGACGGCCUUCGGGUUGUAAACUCCUUUCGCUAGGGACGAAGCGUUAUGUGACGGUACCUGGAGAAGAAGCACCGGCUAACUACGUG
rnacentral:rRNA from 1 species